rnacentral:lncRNA from 1 species
GGAGGAUCGUGGAGCUCCACGGCCAGAUCGACAGCUGCGGCUUCUCCUGAAGGACGCGGGCGCGGGUAGGUGUCGGGCGGCUGCGCUCCCGGGAGGGGCUCGCGCCGCCCCGCCUGGGAGUGCACGGCCGGGCGGAGGGGGAACGGGGUGGGGGGCAGACACAGGGUCGCGCUUUUACGUUGGCAAUCAGAGGAAAGCAGUUAGUACGUUGUUGUGAAACGUGACGAUCAUUUGUAGUAAAGCAGUUGCAGGCAGGCGGGGCCUGGGGUGAAAGCGUAGGCCGUCGGGCGAACGAAGGACGAGGGGGCCANGGGGGGCGGGGGCUGCGCGCCGGGGAGGGGGAAAGGGGUGGGAGGCAGGCCCCGAGGGUCGGGCUUGUAGGUUGGUGAAGUGAUUUGGCGUUCUUAAAAAUGACACGUGAGGGUUAUUGGCAGCAAGUAGAACAAGAAGAGGUGUAGGGCUGCCUACUGGCUGGGGGCGGGGGGCGGGAACCAAGGAAACCCUAGGCCACAAAGCAAACUACGGGGGAGGAGAGGAGAAUUUUAAAGUGUGAAACGGAAGACCAGUACUGAAUAUUUCAAAAUUUUGCCGGGAGUGUGGAGCGUUUCGCUUGACCCUUUUCUGCGAGAAAAGGCAUUCUGCAUGCGCAAUUUCACUGUUUAUCCCGGGACAGUGGACUCUUACAGGUGUCAUAGAGAAAGCUGGACGCUCGUCGAAGCGGUAAGGAUGGAUCUUUUUUUUUUUUUUUUUUUAAUUUUUUUUUUCAACAUUUAUUUAUUUUUGGGACAGAGAGAGACAGAGCAUGAACGGGGAAGGGGCAGAGAGAGAGGGAGACACAGAAUCGGAAACAGGCUCCAGGCUCUGAGCCAUCAGCCCAGAGCCUGACGCGGGGCUCGGACUCACGGACCGCGAGAUCGUGACCUGGCUGAAGUCGGACGCUUAACCGACUGCGCCACCCAGGCGCCCCCGGACUUUUUAAAGAUGGGAUUGUGCCGGGGGAAAGGCACUGAAGGGUAAAAAGAGGGCUUUGGUCCGUGUGACGAGGCCAUCUGGAUUUGCUAAUUGGAGCGUAUUCAGAGAAGCAAACUCUCAUCUUUGUGACGGGCGCACAGGUGCCAGCUGAACCUUUCGGGCACCCUACCUCCCUACACCCCUGCGGAGAAUGGAGGGCAAAGAGAUGGCUUUCCCGUCCUUGAGGAGACAGUUUUGAGUAGUAGAUUUGCAUUUCAGAGCACGCGGAGAGCCUUUAUAAGUGCAAACCUUCCAUAAGGUAGCUACUCUAAGAGGGGGUCUUAGUGCUUCUCUGCCUAUCAGUAGGUUUUGGCUGGAACAAACAGUAAAUUUUCCCAGCAACUUUGAGCUUCCCCCCACCCCUCGCAGGCACUUGAGGGAGGGCUGGGAUCACAGCCUUAAGAUGGGGAAGCCAUGCUAGAGUUUGGCCAGAUCUCUGAGUGCCAGACCUUGAACAGAGUGGUUGUCGAUCGAGAGCUCUACGAUUCUCACAGGCAACGUCUUGAUAAUAAAUUUCUCCCAAUUGUCCAAUAGGUUCACCGUCAGACUCUGGUUGACCGGUCCGCUGACGCCCUGGAAAAGCUGAAACCUGAGAACCUGUUGUUCUCACUUCUUUGUUUUUCUGUAGACGUCGUUUCUACGUAUACUGUUAAAUCCGCAUGUUAGUCUGUGUGGUGACCACUGUGUGGUUGUACAUUGCCAAAUGUAUUUAGUUCUGCGAAGAACUUUUACUGGGGAAAGGUUCUCAAAGCAGUUUGAGUCUAGAUUGUAAACUGAUGAGGUGGUCAUGUUUUUAUGCUUGGAAUUUCUCAAUGUUUUACAUUUUUCUGUUUCUGGGCAUUUGACUAUCUCUCAUGUGACCUAAUCACUGCUGGAAAGUCUGGGCCGAGGAAGACACCGUGUCGGUUGUCAAAGAGCGGAGUUGCUGAAGGAGUUGCGCCUGCUUCGCUGGAAAGUGCCACCAGAAAAGGGAUGGGAAGUGGUGGUGACAAGUUCAGAACUUGUCAUUUCUCUGUGACACCAACAAGGCUUCCCUCUGAAAUUAAGUCGCAGUAUUUGGCGCAUGUAACGUGAACUCUUGGGAGAGCUUGGACAACCCGGCAGAGUCUGAUUUGUGGUUGUGUUCUUACAUUUUGUUUGUGGUCUGGCUUAAGGUUCAGCUUCACGGAUAGCUCUCGGUAGUGCAUUUCCGGCUCUCUGAGGCCUGGAAAGAGGGAUGUGCCUUAAUGGUCCCAGGAAGGAGCUGUGGACUUAAACUGACCAGGGCCAGCACCAUUUCAUGGGCUGUUAAUUGUCUGGUUACGCUCAUUUGAAUAGCACACACACCCCCACCCCCACCCCCGUCGAUUUGAGGUUGAAACAACGUAUGUAAUAAGCAUCUGUAAGUUUGCCCAAAUAAACCAAAGCCCUGCAACUUUGCCAG